UGGUCAUUGAAAACUUCAGUAAAUUUAUGAAGUUGUAAAGGAUGUAUAACUAGUUUAUAAGUCAAACAACUAAAAGUGCAUACUUACUCUCACACAAAACAAUUGGAAGGAUGGUAAUGAAAUCAAAUCAUAUAAAUUAUCUAGUCAUUUUAAUUUUUAAAACAUAAUAUUUAAAAUGUAACUUUUUUCCAUUUUAGUGAAAGCAUAUGUAUACAAAAUGCAGGUUUUUGAAUAUGAAAUAUAAUAUCAACAACAUGGUAGUUAUAUAUAAAUGUAACAUUAUGUAAAAAUGGUGAAUGAAUCGAUCAUCGCACGCUUACCACAGCGCUAUCAAAAAAUCCUGGGGAGAACACUGAUUGGAUAUUUUUUUUUGCAUUUUUUAACCAGUUGAGCAUUUUACAGGAGUGUUGGCUUAAUGCUGUUUAAACUUUCCUGAAAAAGAACACCUUAAAUUUGCUAUUAUUUGGCAUGAAAGUUUGAUUGAUUGAAAGGGACUCGUAGUUUUCCAUUUUAUUUUUCUAAUUGUCUCAUUGUUAAAACAACAGCUUGGGUAAGGGCUUCGUUGUUUACCUUUAUACACAACAACAUAUUAACUAUGUACUUGGUAAAAGUUAUUAAUUAAUUGAAUAGAAAAUAUUAUAACAAAUAUUAUUGGAUGCCGAAUUGACUUCGAAUAGGUGCCGAAUUGACUUCAAAUAGGUUCCGAUUUGACUAGAUGCCGAUUUAACCAGGUGCCGAUUUGAGUUGUACAUUUCAAAUCCUAUGCGAUCGUUUGCGGUAUUUUCUAGAGAAACC
rnacentral:lncRNA from 1 species